CUUCAUGCGUCGGUUCUGGAACCACACUUUGACCUGCCUCUCCGUGAGGUCCAGCAGGGCCGCGAUCUCGACGCGGCGCGGCCGGCACAGACCCAAUGGUGGUUGGGCUCCGGGUCACGUGACGACUUCUUUGUAGCUCCGGAAGAGAACUGUGAAGUUUAGGUUGCUUGGAAGAAGCAGUAAACGGCCAGAUUUUGUUAUUGUUGUUGUUGUUGUGUAAGGGGUGGCCAGGAAGUUGUGGCCAAAGGAGCAAGAAGACAGAAGGUCAAUGAGAAAAACUGAGAAGCAAGAGAAUUGGAAGGGGGUAAAAAAAUCAAGAUUUGGAGGAAUUAACCACAGAGAUGGAAGGCCAGGGGAAGGGAAAGGAGCUGCAGGCCUGGCCUUCCCAGGAAGUGUGGUUAUCACCUCCUGGCCUUCUCCGUCAGACCUCCAGGCUGCCCU